rnacentral:rRNA from 1 species
UGCGUAGGCGGCCCUGUGUGUCAGAGGUGAAAGCUCACGGCUCAACCGUGGAAUUGCCUUUGAAACUGCAGGGCUUGAGUCCGAGAGAGGAAGGUGGAAUUCCUGGUGUAACGGUGAAAUGUGCAGAUAUCAGGAAGAACCACCCGUGGCGAAGGCGGCCUUCUGGCUCGGAACUGACGCUGAGGCACGAAAGCUAGGGUAUCGAACG